AUUGAACGCUGGCGGCAGGCUUAACACAUGCAAGUCGAGCGGAGAUGAGGUGCUUGCACCUUAUCUUAGCGGCGGACGGGUGAGUAAUGCUUAGGAAUCUGCCUAUUAGUGGGGGACAACAUUCCGAAAGGAAUGCUAAUACCGCAUACGUCCUACGGGAGAAAGCAGGGGACCUUCGGACCUUGCGCUAAUAGAUGAGCCUAAGUCGGAUUAGCUAGUUGGUGGGGUAAAGGCCUACCAAGGCGACGAUCUGUAGCGGGUCUGAGAGGAUGAUCCGCCACACUGGGGCUGAGACACGGCCCAGACUCCUACGGGAGGCAGCAGUGGGGAAUAUUGGACAAUGGGCGGAAGCCUGAUCCAGCCAUGCCGCGUGUGUGAAGAAGGCCUUUUGGUUGUAAAGCACUUUAAGCGAGGAGGAGGCUACCUAGAUUAAUACUCUGGGAUAGUGGACGUUACUCGCAGAAUAAGCACCGGCUAACUCUGUGCCAGCCGCCGCGGUAAGAC
rnacentral:rRNA from 1 species